GAUGAACGCUGGCGGUAUGCUUAACACAUGCAAGUCGAACGCAGACUUUCGGGUCUGAGUGGCGGACGGGUGAGUAACGCGUGAGAAUCUGGCUUCAGGUUGGGGACAACCACGGGAAACGGUGGCUAAUACCCAAUGUGCCGUUAAGGUGAAAGAUUAAUUGCCUGAAGAUGAGCUCGCGUCUGAUUAGCUAGUUGGUGGGGUAAGAGCUCACCAAGGCGACGAUCAGUAGCUGGUCUGAGAGGACGAUCAGCCACACUGGGACUGAGACACGGCCCAGACUCCUCCGGGAGGAAGAGGGGGGGAUUUUGCGGCAAGGGGGGAAGGCCUGACGGAGCAAUACGGGGGGGGGGAGGAAGGCUCUUGGGUUGAAAACUUUUUUUCGCAGGGAAGAGGGCAAGGGGGGGCCCUGAGGAAACAACAACGGCAACCUCCGGG
rnacentral:rRNA from 1 species